CAACCUCAACUCAUAUGGGACUACCCCCUGAAUUUAAGCAUAUUAAUUAGGGGAGGAAAAGAAACUAACAAGGAUUUUCUUAGUAGCGGCGAGCGAAAAGAAAUCAGUUCAGCACUAAGUCACUUUGUCUAUAUGGCAAAUGUGAGAUGCAGUGUACGGAACAUCAACAUUCUAGUAUGAGAAGUUAACGAUUUAAGUCCUUCUUAAAUGAGGCCAUUUACCCAUAGAGGGUGCCAGGCCCGUAUAACGUUAAUGAUUACUAGAUGGUGUUUCCAAAGAGUCGUGUUGCUUGAUAGUGCAGCACUAAGUGGGUGGUAAACUCCAUCUAAAACUAAAUAUAACCAUGAGACCGAUAGUAAACAAGUACCGUGAGGGAAAGUUGAAAAGAACUCUGAAUAGAGAGUUAAAUAGUACGUGAAACUGCUUAGAGGUUAAACCCGAUGAACCUGAAUAUCCGUUAUGGAAAAUUCAUCAUUAGAAUUGUAAUAUUUUAAACAAUAUUAUAAUAAUAGUGUGCAUUUUUUCCAUAUAAGGACAUUGUAAUCUAUUAGCAUAAAUAUUUAUCAUAAAAUUAUGUCUGAUUGCUUAUUUGAAUUAUAUGCUUGGCAUUUUAACAUAAAAUAAAAGAUAUAAAUUUGAUAAAGUGCUGAUAGAUUUAUAUGAUUACAGUGCGUUAAUUUUUCGGAAUUAUAUAAUGGCAUAAUUAUCAUUGAUAUUUGUGGUUAUUAUAUGCAUUUGUAUGAUUAACAAUGCGAAAGAUUCAGGAUACCUUCGGG
rnacentral:ncRNA from 1 species